UGAAUACGAGAUGCUACGGCGUCGAAGCAGUCUAUGUCAUACUUCCAAGAAAAGCUUGCACUGUCAUAAACAAAUAAUGCCUGUACCAUAACCGACACAGGUGGGUAGGUAGAGUAUACUAAGGGGCGCGAGAUAACUCUCUCUAAGGAACUCGGCAAAAUGACUCCGUAACUUCGGGAGAAGGAGUGCCUUAUUUAUAAGGUUGCAAUAACAAGAUCCAAGCAACUGUUUACCAAAAACACAGGUCUCCGCUAAGUCGUAAGACGAUGUAUGGGGGCUGACGCCUGCCCAGUGCCAGAAGGUUAAAGAAGUUGGUUAGCAUCCGCGAAGCUGAUAACUGAAGCCCUGGUGAACGGCGGCCGUAACAAUAACGGUCCUAAGGUAGCGAAAUUCCUUGUCGGGUAAGUUCCGACCCGCACGAAAGGCGUAAUGAUUUGGAUACUGUCUCGGAGAGGGGCUCGGUGAAAUAGACUUGUCUGUGAAGAUGCGGACUACCUGCACCAGGACAGAAAGACCCUAUGAAGCUUUACUGUAACCUGAAAUUGAAAUUGGACUUUACUUGCGCAGUAUAGGUGGGAGGCGUUGAGAAUAUUCUUGCGGGAUUAUUGGAGCCAUCAGUGAGAUACCACUCUUGUAAUGUUAGAUUUCUAACUUUGUAUCAUUAUCUGGUCAAAGAACAGUUUCAGGCGGGCAGUUUGACUGGGGCGGUCGCCUCCUAAACGGUAACGGAGGCGCACAAAGGUUUCCUCUGAACGGGUAGAAAUCGUAUCUAGAGUGUAAAGGCAUAAGGAAGCUUGACUGUGAGACCUACAAGUCGAGCAGGGACGAAAGUCGGUCUUAGUGAUCUGACGGUGCUGAGUGGAAAGGCCGUCACUCAACGGAUAAAAGUUACUCUAGGAUAACAGGCUGAUCUCCCCCAAGAGUUCACAUCGACGGGGAGGUUUGGCACCUCGAUGUCGGCUCAUCGCAUCCUGGGGCGGUAGUACGUCCCAAGGGUUGGGCUGUUCGCCCAUGAAAGCGGUACGCGAGCUGGGUUCAGAACGUCGUGAGACAGUUCGGUCCAUAUCCGGUGUAGGUGUUAGAAUAUUGAGAGGAGCCUUCUUUAGUACGAGAGGACCGAGAAGGACAUACCUCUGGUGUACCAGUUAUCGUGCCAACGGUAAACGCUGGGUAGCUAUGUGUGGAGUGGAUAACCGCUGAAAGCAUCUAAGUGGGAAGCCCACCUCAAGAUAAGUAUUCUCA
rnacentral:rRNA from 1 species